rnacentral:rRNA from 1 species
GAUGAACGCUGGCGGCGUGCCUAAUACAUGCAAGUCGAGCGAACGGACGAGAAGCUUGCUUCUCUGAUGUUAGCGGCGGACGGGUGAGUAACACGUGGAUAACCUACCUAUAAGACUGGGAUAACUUCGGGAAACCGUAGCUAAUACCGGAUAAUAUUUUGAACCGCAUGGUUCAAAAGUGAAAGACGGUCUUGCUGUCACUUAUAGAUGGAUCCGCGCUGCAUUAGCUAGUUGGUAAGGUAACGGCUUACCAAGGCAACGAUGCAUAGCCGACCUGAGAGGGUGAUCGGCCACACUGGAAUUGAGACACGGUCCAGACUCCUACGGGAGGCAGCAGUAGGGAAUCUUCCGCAAUGGGCGAAAGCCUGACGGAGCAACGUCGCGUGAGUGAUGAAGGUCUUCGGAUCGUAAAACUCUGUUAUUAGGGAAGAACAUAUGUGUAAGUAACUGUGCACAUCUUGACGGUACCUAAUCAGAAAGCCACGGCUAACUACGUG